CCACCAUGUACCAUACAUUACAGAAGUGCAGACGACAUAAUGUUUACCGCGGCAUCCAAGAUGGCGGACACCUUGCAUCGCUUCACACACGCGAUAAACACGGACACAUGACACAUGACGGGUGAAGUGGGUUUUCGUGGACGACCUCCGACGCCUAAUAAAAGGAGUCUAAGCGAAAGAGAGCAGGAUAUUAUGAACGGUGUUCAAGCCAGCUACAUCAAUGAUCCAGAUGGAAAGCAACAGAAACUCAACUGAAAGAAAGCAACUUUAGUCUUGUCUGAUAAGUGCUGCAUGUGUUCCACAGCCCAUGCCAAGUAUGGACUGAAAUUCUGGCUUAACUACCAGAUCUUAGCUCCAUGAUACAAGUAUGUAGACAGCAGCUGGCUACUAGCUGCGGCUCCCCGAGUACCUUGUAAAAUGGCGAAUGCACUGUUAAAGUUAUAGAGAUUUUUUAUUAUAAGACCCCCGAAAAUCCACAAAUACAUGUAUGAGAGAAAGUUCACUGCAACCACUGAUGCAUUUAUGCAGAGGAUUCAAUUAGUUUGGAACUUGCUGCAACCCCUGUCCAGGUUGUCAUUGAGGAUUCUGUCCGAGGACUUAUUGAGGUGAACAGUCUGUCAAGGUUCAGAGAGGUGACACUAAAGGAAGUGAUUCUAGCCAAAAAGGACUGCACAAUUUUCCUCUGCAACUGAGGGAAUCAAAACCCAUGACGAAGGAGAAAUCGAGUUUUACCAAGUGCAGAUGCAGAUGGCAGUUGUAGGUGUGCCUUGUUGUGACCUUUGAAUUUUCACCAAUGCCACAGCGAUGUGCUCAUAGUCUUUGUACAUGUUUCAUUCAUUGAGGCAUUUUUGAAACCAUUGAGGAUUCUCCAAUUUCAUAAAGGUCAAUGUUUUACCAUAUAGCCCAGGGUUUGCAAUUUUUUUAUCAAGACACCUUGCACAAAUUUUAUUUGGCAAAACUAGUUAAUUGGUCUUGUCAUAAAUGUGAUUGCUCUAGUUCAAAGAGUAAAAGUGCAUGUACAUGUACAUGUUAUUAUUAAAAUUAUAUUUUAGACAUUAAAAUUUUUGUCAACAAAUUGCAGACUUUUUAGUCAUCUUUAAAAAUCUAUAAUUUACUUUUCUAUGAAUAGUUAGUGCAAUUUUAGGUGAAACAUAUAUGCACCUAGGACAGUUUAAAUACAUGUUUCUACUAAGCAAUUUGUGUUUCUACUGAGCUAAAUGUGUCAUUAAGAAUAGGAGCAACUUAACAUGUAUCUGUACAAGGAUUGGAUGUAUUUCGUCGAUUGGUUUUGGAAACCAACUUUAGAGACUGCAAGUUAACUGUUGAUUUAUAUACGGCAGUUCACAUUUUGGACAGAAUUCCACAUACGGACGUCACUUGAGACCCUGUAUACAACUUUGAGAGUGGUCUGAACAUUUCUGUUUUCUCACUAAAUUCUUCAAUGUUUUCCCUGCUAUAUUUGACUUUGUACGACAUGUUAUCGCUUUCUGAUGGCUGGUAGGUCAUUGCAAGGAAAAAUUAUUGACAUCCGUAUAUGGAAUUCUUUCCUACAUGUUCUUGUUAUGUUUAGUAAAAGGAUUUUUUAAACAACAUUUUAAGGUUUCCUUCCACUCUUGAGCUUUAAUUUAUUGCAUUGUACUAGACUGGGGCAAGCAUUAUUUGUGUGUAACUUAAAGAAACUGCCUGAAAAAAAGUACAAUUCACAUUUCGCAAGUUAAUUAUUAAACCACUGCUUUAAUAUCUCAUCCAAAAAAACCCACAUUGUAAUGUUAAAUUAGCAGUUAUAUUAAUAUCACUUGUGUUGUAAACAUUUUUUUUUUGAGAAGUAUACAAUGUAUACAAUUGUGCUUUUCAAAAUAUCAUGUAUGUACAGUUAACCAUGCUCAACCUGUAACACUAUAACAUCAUUUCAUGAGAUUACACAAACAUUUGAACAAAAUGAACUAAAGGUGCACCAUUCUAAGUUUUGUGCAAUAUGAAUAUCCUGAUAUCUGUUUGACAAAGGUGGGGGACAGGGGUGGGGUGGGGGUUAGGGGUGGAAUGGGGGUUGGGCUGGAGGCACUGGAGGAUGGGACAUUUGGUGAAUUGGGUGGGGGAUGGGGGGCGGAGUGUGAAGUUUAAACUUGUGAUUGGCCCCUAGUAACACAACUCUCUGUAAAAUUUACAUGAAUCUGCCACAGAUUCAAGACGACAAUGCUGUGCUGCAGAUCCAGAAACUUUACUGUGUAGUACAACUUCUGCUAAUACAGUUUUGUAGUGGUACAUGUCAGGCACAGAUUGACUACAAUAAAAUAGAAAAUAAAAUGUAUGUAUUUGUUACAAGAAA
rnacentral:lncRNA from 1 species